GGAUAGCUCAGAUGUUUGGAGCAUGGUGCUGAUAACGCCAAGGUCGUAGGUUCGAUCCCUGUAUGGGACA
rnacentral:tRNA from 1 species